rnacentral:rRNA from 1 species
GAUACAGGGUGACAGCCCCGUACACAAAAAUGCACAUAUUGUGAGCUCGAUGAGUAGGGCGGGACACGUGGUAUCCUGUCUGAAUAUGGGGGGCCCAUCCUCCAAGGCUAAAUACUCCUGACUGACCGAUAGUGAACCAGUACCGUGAGGGAAAGGCGAAAAGAACCCCGGCGAGGGGAGUGAAAAAGAACCUGAAACCGUGUACGUACAAGCAGUGGGAGCACGCUUAGGCGUGUGACUGCGUACCUUUUGUAUAAUGGGUCAGCGACUUAUAUUCUGUAGCAAGGUUAACCGAAUAGGGGAGCCGAAGGGAAACCGAGUCUUAACUGGGCGUUAAGUUGCAGGGUAUAGACCCGAAACCCGGUGAUCUAGCCAUGGGCAGGUUGAAGGUUGGGUAACACUAACUGGAGGACCGAACCGACUAAUGUUGAAAAAUUAGCGGAUGACUUGUGGCUGGGGGUGAAAGGCCAAUCAAACCGGGAGAUAGCUGGUUCUCCCCGAAAGCUAUUUAGGUAGCGCCUCGUGAAUUCAUCUCCGGGGGUAGAGCACUGUUUCGGCAAGGGGGUCAUCCCGACUUACCAACCCGAUGCAAACUGCGAAUACCGGAGAAUGUUAUCACGGGAGACACACGGCGGGUGCUAACGUCCGUCGUGAAGAGGGAAACAACCCAGACCGCCAGCUAAGGUCCCAAAGUCAUGGUUAAGUGGGAAACGAUGUGGGAAGGCCCAGACAGCCAGGAUGUUGGCUUAGAAGCAGCCAUCAUUUAAAGAAAGCGUAAUAGCUCACUGGUCGAGUCGGCCUGCGCGGAAGAUGUAACGGGGCUAAACCAUGCACCGAAGCUGCGGCAGCGACGCUUAUGCGUUGUUGGGUAGGGGAGCGUUCUGUAAGCCUGCGAAGGUGUGCUGUGAGGCAUGCUGGAGGUAUCAGAAGUGCGAAUGCUGACAUAAGUAACGAUAAAGCGGGUGAAAAGCCCGCUCGCCGGAAGACCAAGGGUUCCUGUCCAACGUUAAUCGGGGCAGGGUGAGUCGACCCCUAAGGCGAGGCCGAAAGGCGUAGUCGAUGGGAAACAGGUUAAUAUUCCUGUACUUGGUGUUACUGCGAAGGGGGGACGGAGAAGGCUAUGUUGGCCGGGCGACGGUUGUCCCGGUUUAAGCGUGUAGGCUGGUUUUCCAGGCAAAUCCGGAAAAUCAAGGCUGAGGCGUGAUGACGAGGCACUACGGUGCUGAAGCAACAAAUGCCCUGCUUCCAGGAAAAGCCUCUAAGCAUCAGGUAACAUCAAAUCGUACCCCAAACCGACACAGGUGGUCAGGUAGAGAAUACCAAGGCGCUUGAGAGAACUCGGGUGAAGGAACUAGGCAAAAUGGUGCCGUAACUUCGGGAGAAGGCACGCUGAUAUGUAGGUGAAGUCCCUUGCGGAUGGAGCUGAAAUCAGUCGAAGAUACCAGCUGGCUGCAACUGUUUAUUAAAAACACAGCACUGUGCAAACACGAAAGUGGACGUAUACGGUGUGACGCCUGCCCGGUGCCGGAAGGUUAAUUGAUGGGGUCAGCGCAAGCGAAGCUCUUGAUCGAAGCCCCGGUAAACGGCGGCCGUAACUAUAACGGUCCUAAGGUAGCGAAAUUCCUUGUCGGGUAAGUUCCGACCUGCACGAAUGGCGUAAUGAUGGCCAGGCUGUCUCCACCCGAGACUCAGUGAAAUUGAACUCGCUGUGAAGAUGCAGUGUACCCGCGGCAAGACGGAAAGACCCCGUGAACCUUUACUAUAGCUUGACACUGAACAUUGAGCCUUGAUGUGUAGGAUAGGUGGGAGGCUUUGAAGUGUGGACGCCAGUCUGCAUGGAGCCGGCCUUGAAAUACCACCCUUUAAUGUUUGAUGUUCUAACGUGGACCCGUGAUCCGGGUUGCGGACAGUGUCUGGUGGGUAGUUUGACUGGGGCGGUCUCCUCCUAAAGAGUAACGGAGGAGCACGAAGGUUGGCUAAUCCUGGUCGGACAUCAGGAGGUUAGUGCAAUGGCAUAAGCCAGCUUGACUGCGAGCGUGACGGCGCGAGCAGGUGCGAAAGCAGGUCAUAGUGAUCCGGUGGUUCUGAAUGGAAGGGCCAUCGCUCAACGGAUAAAAGGUACUCCGGGGAUAACAGGCUGAUACCGCCCAAGAGUUCAUAUCGACGGCGGUGUUUGGCACCUCGAUGUCGGCUCAUCACAUCCUGGGGCUGAAGUAGGUCCCAAGGGUAUGGCUGUUCGCCAUUUAAAGUGGUACGCGAGCUGGGUUUAGAACGUCGUGAGACAGUUCGGUCCCUAUCUGCCGUGGGCGCUGGAGAACUGAGGGGGGCUGCUCCUAGUACGAGAGGACCGGAGUGGACGCAUCACUGGUGUUCGGGUUGUCAUGCCAAUGGCACUGCCCGGUAGCUAAAUGCGGAAGAGAUAAGUGCUGAAAGCAUCUAAGCACGAAACUUGCCCCGAGAUGAGUUCUCCCUGACCCUUUAAGGGUCCUGAAGGAACGUUGAAGACGACGACGUUGAUAGGCCGGGUGUGUAAGCGCAGCGAUGCGUUGAGCUAACCGGUACUAAUGAACCGUGAGG